AUGGCGUCCGUCGCAUUAAAGCUCUCACGGUCACGGUUCGCUGGGGCAGCCGCCAACUCCUGCCGCUUCGCUCUUAGCCUACCCGGCCGCGAUCUCACUGGAGAUACCACCAUAAACGCCCGGUCGCGACCGUUACUUAGAUCCCCAAACUCCGCCGCCGCCUCCACCAGCCCCUCGGUCUUCUUCCUCCGGCGCAGCAUAGCUACGCUCCCCUCCGGUCAGGACUCCAAUCUGCCUGUGGGCGCCGCACCAGAUGACCUCGACGACGAGCUCCGCCCUGACCCGGACACCGUUCCCUACUUCGACGAGAAGGACCUCGUCUCGGAUGAAACCCUGUGGGCUCUGUACGAGCGGUGGUGCCGCUUCCACGGAAUGGCGCGCGACCACGACGAGAUGACUAGGCGAUUUGGUCGUUUCAAGGAUACGGCGUGGCAUGUCCACGAGUUCAACAAGUCGGGUAGGAGCUACACCAAGGGGCUCACCCAGUUCUCCGAUUUGGAGCCAGAGGAGUUCUUCGGCCCUCGUCGCUGUCCGAGGACUCCCAGAACUGGUAGUCGUUUCUUCACCAACGACAGAGAUGAGGUCACGGCGAUCUGUACUGACGGGUGUCUUGAAAAAUAUGAGGGCCCUGUUUGGAUAAUCCGUAAUGUUAAGUAG
rnacentral:rRNA from 1 species